UACGUAGGGGGCAAGCGUUGUCCGGAAUCAUUGGGCGUAAAGCGCGCGUAGGUGGCCCGGUAAGUCCGCUCUGAAAGUCAAAGGCUCAACCUUUGAAAGCGGGUGGAUACUGUCGGGCUAGAGUCCGGAAGAGGCGAGUGGAAUUCCUGGUGUAGCGGUGGAAUGCGCAGAUAUCAGGAGGAACACCAACGGCGAAGGCAGCUCGCUGGGACGGUACUGACGCUGAGGUGCGAAAGCGUGGGGAGCAAACAGG
rnacentral:rRNA from 1 species